rnacentral:rRNA from 1 species
UACGUAGGGGGCAAGCGUUGUCCGGAAUUAUUGGGCGUAAAGAGCGCGUAGGCGGUCCGAUAAGUCGGCUGUGAAAGUCAUGGGCUCAACCCAUGAAAGCCGGCCGAUACUGUCGGACUAGAGUCCGGAAGAGGCAAGUGGAAUUCCCGGUGUAGCGGUGAAAUGCGCAGAUAUCGGGAGGAACACCAAUGGCGAAGGCAGCUUGCUGGGACGGUACUGACGCUGAGACGCGAAAGCGUGGGGAGCAAACAGG